CAACUAUAUCAUGUUGAAACACCGGUUCUCAUAGAAUCACCGAAGUUAAGCAAUGUCGAGUUUGGUCAGUACCUAGAUGGGUGUUCGCUUGGGAAUACCAGGACCUGUAA